UACGAAGGGGGCUAGCGUUGCUCGGAAUCACUGGGCGUAAAGAGCUCGUAGGCGGCUCGGUAAGUCAGGUGUCAAGUCCUCAGGCUCAACCUGGGGCUCCACCUGAUACUGCUGUGGCUAGAGUCCGGUAGGGGAGCGUGGAAUUCCUGGUGUAGCGGUGAAAUGCGCAGAUAUCAGGAGGAACACCAGCGGCGAAGGCGGCGCUCUGGGCCGGAACUGACGCUGAGGAGCGAAAGCGUGGGUAGCAAACAGG
rnacentral:rRNA from 1 species